rnacentral:rRNA from 1 species
CAAAUCAUCAUGCCCCUUAUGGCCUGGGCUACACACGUGCUACAAUGGUCGGUACAAAGGGAAGCGAAGCGGCGACGCGGAGCGAACCCCAUAAAGCCGAUCUCAGUUCGGAUUGAAGUCUGAAACCCGACUUCAUGAAGUUGGAAUCGCUAGUAAUCGCGCAUCAGCAUGGCGCCGGUUGAACCUACGUUCCAGGCCUU